AAGAAUGAUGUAAGGGUCAUUUGAUUUAAGGCUCACAUUCAUCACCCCCCCAUAAAAGACAUAAUAUUAUCUAUAUCUAUAUCUAUAUCUAUCUAUAUCUAUAUCUAUGCCUCUUUUAUGGGGUGGAAAUGAACAUGAGCCAUAAACUGAAUGAACCUUACAUCAUCUUAA